ACUCAAAUGAAUAGACGGGGGCCCGCACAAGCGGUGGAGCAUGUGGUUCAAUUCGAAGCAACGCGCAGAACCUUACCAGCCCUAGACCGUCUGGUUGCGGAGAGCAGAGAUGCACUCUUUCAGUUCGGCUGGACCAGAUUCAGGUGCUGCAUGGCUGUCGUCAGCUCGUGUCGUGAGAUGUUGGGUUAAGUCCCGCAACGAGCGCAACCCUCGCCCUUAGUUGCCAUCAUUCAGUUGGGCACUCUAAGGGGACUGCCGGUGAUAAGCCGCGAGGAAGGUGGGGAUGACGUCAAGUCCUCAUGGCCCUUACGGGCUGGGCUACACACGUGCUACAAUGGCGGUGACAGUGGGACGCAAUGGGGUAACCCUGCGCAAAUCUCAAAAAGCCGUCUCAGUUCGGAUUGUGCUCUGCAACUCGAGCACAUGAAGUUGGAAUCGCUAGUAAUCGCAGAUCAGCACGCUGCGGUGAAUACGUUCCCGGGCCUUGUACACACCGCCCGU
rnacentral:rRNA from 1 species